UACCAGCUCUCCGAGUUGUGGGGACGAUUAUUGGGUCUAAAGCAUCCGUAGCCGGCUGGGCAAGUCCUCUGUUAAAUCCAGCGACAAAUCGUUGGCUUGCGGGGGAUACUGCUUGGCUAGGGGGCGGGAGAGGCCGUCGGUAUUCCCGGGGUAGGGGUGAAAUCCUAUAAUCCCGGGAGGACCACCAGUGGCGAAGGCUGUCGGCUAGAACGCGCCCGACGGUGAGGGAUGAAAGCUGGGGGAGCGAACCGGAUUAGAUACCCGGGUAGUCCCAGCUGUAAACGAUGCAGGCUAGGUGUUAGGGCGGCUACGGGCCGCUCUAGUGCCGCAGGGAAGCUGUUAAGCCUGCCACCUGGGGAGUACGGCCGCAAGGCUGAAACUUAAAGGAAUUGGCGGGGGAGCACCACAAGGGGUGAAGCUUGCGGUUUAAUUGGAGUCAACGCCGGAAAUCUCACCGGGGGCGACAGCAGGGUGAAGGCCAGAUUGAAGGUCUUGCCAGACGAGCUGAGAGGAGGUGCAUGGCCGUCGCCAGUUCGUGCCGUGAGGUGUCCUGUUAAGUCAGGCAACGAGCGAGACCCGCAUCCCCCGUUGCCACCAGCCUUGAGCUGAGCACACUGGGGAGACCGCCGUCGAGAAGACGGAGGAAGGAGCGGGCCACGGCAGGUCAGUAUGCCCCGAAUCUCCCGGGCCACACGCGAGCUGCAAUGGCAGGUACAAUGGGUUCCGACCUCGAAAGGGGAAGGCAAUCUCUAAAGCCUGCCGUAGUUGGGAUCGAGGGUUGAAACUCACCCUCGUGAACAUGGAAUCCCUAGUAAUCGCGUGUCACUAGCACGCGGUGAAUACGUCCCUGCUCCU
rnacentral:rRNA from 1 species